AGGCAGAUAAGGCCAGACAGAAAUGGUUGAGGAGAGACAGGGAAAGAUCGGGAAAGAUCUCGCAAGGAACAGAAAGUCAUUUAAAGAGCAGAACCACCUGAGGCAAAGGCGAUUCCUGUGCUGUCCCUGUGUCCAGCCGACCAGGUCUCUCCAGGCCCCAGACCACUGUCAGUCACUCUUUAUCGAAUAUGAUAGUUUUUCUUUUUAACACAUUACAUUUAUCAUGUAUUUGGAUUUAUGUUACUAUCAUAAGUUGCGUUUUCUCUUCACUAAUUUAUUAUUAUUUUUUUCCUGACUUCAGUUGGACUGACACACUAUCCCCACUCCUGCCACUUUUUUCCCCUCCCGUCUUGGAAAUUAUAUUCUUCUUUUAGUGGUUAUCUUAAAUUGUUAGCAUAUAUACAUUUUUCUAAUAGUCUACAGUUUUUAGCAGUGCUAUUUUCUUGAACAAGGCAGAAACUUGGUGUGACUUAACAAAAUUCCCUACUUUAUUCUACCUUAUUUUUCCUUAAUAAUGUGGUCAAUAAUUUUACUUUUCCUUUUUUAUAAAUUAAAAAACGAAUUAGACACUGGAAUUUUGUUCGUGUGUUUUGCCAUCUGUGGCAGACGCUGUUGGUUGCCUACCGGCAGCCACUUUCUCUUCUUUCCUGCCAAGAGAAUCCUGAUUUUGUUCAGGUGGCAAAGGACCCAGUUCCAGGAGAUGAAGCAAGCCUGUUAUAUCCACACAGUAAGCCUGUUCCUUUUUACCAGGAAUUACUCUAAGGAUGGACCAGCCGGGGCCAGUGAGACAUAAGAUGUCUGCUGGGGGCUUCAUGGAAAGAGUCUCUUUCUUUCCAGAAAAAAAGGCACAUUAGAAAGCUUCCUUUCUCCUAACAUUUCCCUGCUUCCUGAUUGGGAUACUAUAUGGUGAUGACAUGAUGUCUGGAGCUGCAGCAGCAUCUCAUAACCAUGAGGAGGGAGUACACCCUGAGGAUGGCAGAACAGAAUGAUGGAAUGAGACAGAGUCCUUCAAGUCAAUACUGGACCACUGUCACAGCCCUGGAACUCCAUACCUCCCCACUUAUUAUAAGCUAAUUUAAUAUUUUUUAGUUUAAGUCACUGUAGAUUAUUCUUUGUAGCAGAAAGCAUCCUGAUAUACUAUCUAUAGUUAAUUAAAUUUGCCAACAUAAUGUGUCAAUUUCUGUGCUCAGUGUUGGUGCUAGCAACCUGCUCCUUCUCCAGAGCUGACUUUUCUUCUUUCUGAAGUAUACUUUUAGUAGAUCUUUUAGUAAGGGUCUGUGAGUGAUAAAGCUAUCUUAAUAUGUCCGGAAAUAUCUUUUAUUUUACCUCCUUCUUGAAUGAUAGCUGGAUAUUGGAUUCUAGCUUCUCUAAGAUACUCCUCUAUGAUAUUUUGGCAUCUAAUAUUGAUGAGAUGUUGCCUGUCAAUCUAAUUGUCAGCCAUUUGAAUUCCUUUUUCUCUAGUUUUUAAUAUUUUCUCUUUCUUAUCCACAGUUUCACUAUAUUAUGUCUAGGUAUCUAUUCUGUUUGGUAUUCAUGCUGUUUCUUCAAUUCUGGAAUUCUCAGCCAUUAUCUCUUCAAAUACUAUUUCUCUGCUAUUUUCUUAACUUGUACCUGAAAUUCUUACUAGACACAAGCUAAAACUUGUCAGUCUGUCCUCUGCGUCUGUGCUGCAUUCUAGACAAAACUCUCAGUAUUAGCUUCCAAUUCAUGAAUUCUGUGUCUAGGCUAGAGUUCUGUCUCUUGCGUCAAAUUCUAAUGACACUAUUUUUUACUGCUAGAAUUUAUUUAACAUUUUAAUUUUUAGAUACUCUUGUUUCUUCCCCCGGCCAUAACUUCCCUUUCUUUUCUUUAAUGGAUUUCAUGUUUCUUUAUCUCUUUGAGGGCCCUGAACCUAUUCAUGAAAGACUUUUCUGAUUACUCUGUUAUUUUCACUUCUUCUGAAGUAAAUUUUUCUUUGAUUUUGUUCUUUUUUUUUUUUCCUUGCAGUAGUUUUCCUCAUGUGUUUCUGAACUUCAGUGGAUAAACUAAUCUUACCUCCUAUUUUACUUUCCAUCCUCAUCUAGGGGUUUUCAUCUUUGCCUCCCCAGGUCCUCCUUUGGGGCUUCCGGUCUAAAAUCGAAUCUUGUAGCUGCAGCUCAGCCUGGGUCCAGGCUGUGAGAUUCUGUCUCCGAAUAGAAGCAUCCUUACAAACCACAAACCCCAAGGAAGGGUUGGAAGGAAGUUUUUCCAGCCUACUUUCCCAGCACCUGGGUUCAAGCAGUGUACGAGCUCUAAUUCCGUGCGUCAUGUGGAGCACUUUAUAGCUUUGUUACCCCAGAAUUCCAGCUGCCUGCCUCCUUCCAGACUCAGAGACCAGCAGACCUGCAGCUUCGGCCCUGUUCUCUUGUUUUUAUCCCCGUUCUCAUCACAGGGAUGUUUUAUCAUUUUGUGUGGGAGGAGGGAGAGGGAGCGCAUGACUGUUUUUAGAGUGUAAUCUUUUUAUGUAUUACUGCUAUGUGUUUAGAGUAUAAAUUUACGGUGCCAUCUUGACUGGAUGAGUUGGAUUAAACUAUUUGUACUGGGGAACUAGGGAUCCCUGCCAGCACUGUCUCCUGGGACGGCAUAUCAAACCAACUCUAAUGAGAUUCACAGAACUCCAGCCAGCACACUGAAGGAAGCAGACUGACAUAGCCUGGGGACCUACCACUGACCUGCAUAUGGCAAGCAUCAGAAAAAUAUUUGUUCAACUGAGUAUCAUCUCUACAUAUAAUCCCAGAGUUAUAAGAAUCAGAAGAAAUAAUGUCAUGUCUUCUGGAACAGUCAGCCUGUGGCAGCUAUGCUAAUGGAAACCUAAAGGUGUCUGAACCCAUGCUUGGGCCAGCAGAUUAAAGGGAGGCAAUGUCCCUCUCCCCCAGGAGUGCAGGAAGAGAGAAGCAAAGUCAAAGGA